UACGGGGGGAGCAAGCGUUGUCCGGAUUUAUUGGGCGUAAAGAGCGUGUAGGCGGCUAGGUAGGUCCGUUGUGAAAACUCGAGCUCAACCUCGAGACGCCGGUGGAAACCAUCUAGCUAGAGUCCGGAAGAGGAGAGUGGAAUUCCUGGUGUAGCGGUGAAAUGCGCAGAUAUCAGGAAGAACACCCGUGGCGAAGGCGGCUCUCUGGGACGUGACUGACGCUGAGACGCGAAAGCGUGGGGAGCGAACAGG
rnacentral:rRNA from 1 species